rnacentral:sRNA from 1 species
GCUGGGCAUGGUGGCGCAUGCCUGUAAUCCUAGCUACUCAGGAAGCUGAGGCAGGAGAAUUGCUUGAACCCAGGAAGCAGAGGUUGCAGUGAGCUGAGAUCACGCCACUACACUCCAGCCCGGGUGACAGAGUGAGACUCUGUCUCAG